rnacentral:rRNA from 1 species
GAUGAACGCUGGCGGCGUGCCUAAUACAUGCAAGUCGAGCGAACAGACGAGGAGCUUGCUCCUCUGACGUUAGCGGCGGACGGGUGAGUAACACGUGGAUAACCUACCUAUAAGACUGGGAUAACUUCGGGAAACCGGAGCUAAUACCGGAUAAUAUAUUGAACCGCAUGGUUCAAUAGUGAAAGACGGUUUUGAUGUCACUUAUAGAUGGAUCCGCGCCGCAUUAGCUAGUUGGUAAGGUAACGGCUUACCAAGGCAACGAUGCGUAGCCGACCUGAGAGGGUGAUCGGCCACACUGGAACUGAGACACGGUCCAGACUCCUACGGGAGGCAGCAGUAGGGAAUCUUCCGCAAUGGGCGAAAGCCUGACGGAGCAACGCCGCGUGAGUGAUGAAGGUCUUCGGAUCGUAAAACUCUGUUAUUAGGGAAGAACAAAUGUGUAAGUAACUAUGCACGUCUUGACGGUACCUAAUCAGAAAGCCACGGCUAACUACGUG